rnacentral:rRNA from 1 species
AAGGGCACCACAAGAACGCGUGGAGCAUGUGGCUUAAUUUGACUCAACGCGGGAAAUCUUACCGGGUCCGGAUGCACUGAGGAUUGACAGACAGGCCAUAGAACAGCUGUAUGUAUACAAUUGUUAUUAUUUGAAUAAUACAAUUAGGAGCGCCGCUUCUGCGUCGUGUGUAAACUGUUCUAAGGCUUCAUACACAGGCACUAUCUCUCAUGAUUAUGUUGCAGGUGGUGCAUGGCCGUUGUUAGUUCGUGGAGUAAUCUGUCUGCUUAAUUGCGUUUCGUACAAGUACUCACUCAAUCCUGGACGUAUCUCAAUUAUAUGUGGCGGUGUCUGUCAUGGAAAGCAGCCUACGUUGUUUCAUACGUGCAGCUGUGUCGCCUCUGAGUUAUUGUCAUUUGGAGAGUACGUGAAUGCAACGAACGUGACCGUAGUGUUUUAGUUUGCAUUUCAAACAAGUGACAUUCAUUUGACACGGUUUGUAUUCCGGCUACGUAUCAUCCCAGUGCAUAACCAUAACCAUUGCAACUAUACAUACCACUGCUUUCUUUUCUCUAACCAGGGGAAGGUUGCGGCAAUAACAGGUCUGUGAUGCCCUCAGAUGUUCCGGGCUGCACACGUGCUACAAUGAUGAGCAUAGUGUGUGCCUUUGUUGUGUCCUUGAAUGAAUAAUUUUCAUUAAGCGAAUAUCGAAUAAAAGGAACGUUUGACGAGAGUUACACGAAAGCCUUUAUUAAAUUUCUUAUUCCAGUGAACUUGAACGAUUCGAUCUUUGAUGAUUGAGUCUUUGAUAGUUGUUGGUACACAUCUUGUGACAUUGCUUCCCUAUCGCUAUCCUAUGCUGUAGUGCGUUUGCAAUGCUGAUGUUUUAAACGCCCCUCAUGUCUCGAGCGUUCCUCGAUCCAUUGUGCAAGUCAGGCGAUCAGGUUUCGCAUGUACCAUUGUUAACUCCGGGUAGGGACAGACCUUUGAAACUCUCGGUCUCGGUCUCAACCAGGAAUGCCUCGUACGGAUUCGGUUAAACAUACCAUCCGGAAUAUGUCCCUGCCCUUUGUACACACCGCCCGUCGCUCUUACCGAUUGUCUGUGUUGUGAGUAUUAGCGAUAGAUCUUAUCUAAACCUUCUACGAACAAUGUGGCUAAGAGGAAAGAGAAGUCGUAACAAGGCAUCAGUAGGUGAACCUGCUGAGGAUCA